rnacentral:misc_RNA from 1 species
GAUGAAGAACGUAGCGAAAUGCGAUAAGUAGUGUGAAUUGCAUAAUUCAGUGAAUCAUCGAAUCUUUGAACGCACAUUGCGCCCCUCGGUAUUCCGUGGGGCAUGCCUGUUCGAGCGUCAUUUAACCCCUCAAGCCUAGCUUGGUAUUGGGUGCUUGUCCCGCCUCUCGCGCGGCGACUCACCUCAAAGUCAUUGGCAGCCCGCAUCUCGCCGGCCGUGAGCGCAGCACAGACGCGCUCUUGGCAACGACGGAUCGGCUCUCCAAAAGCUUAUUUCAACCACUGACCUCGGAUCAGGUAGGGAUACCCGCUGAACUUAAGCAUAUCAAUAAGCGGAGGA